AGCUCUGUAGUGUAUUACGCCAGAUUGCAAAUCUGGAGAAGCGGUUGAUUCCCGCCGGGGCUU
rnacentral:tRNA from 1 species